UCUAUUCAGCUUUUGCUGCCCUUGUUUUGCAUUGUAUAGGUAUAGCAAUAUGCCAUUCUGUAGUGGCAUACCUCUACAGUGCAAAACAAGGACAACAAGAG
rnacentral:pre_miRNA from 1 species